rnacentral:lncRNA from 1 species
AUGGAAAGCUGUUGGGAAGAUUUCUUAUAUUUAAGGUGUUAAAAUUACUUUUCUGUCUUAUUUAGCAAGCCUGCAUAGACUGAAUAGGAGCCAAAGCAGCAGCCUGCCGAAGAAAAAGUCUGAAGGAACCAGAUGUUGACCCUGAAAAAAAGAAGGGUAUUGUACAGAAUAAGAGAAAGAGAUAUAUAGUAAUAUCCUUCCAAAAUCUGCCUCUCUUCCCAGACUAC